GCCCGUGUGGUGGAAUGGCAGACACGGAGGGUUUAAGCCCCUCUGCCGCAAGGCGUGCCGGUUCAAAUCCGGCCAUGGGUACCA
rnacentral:tRNA from 1 species